rnacentral:misc_RNA from 1 species
AACUUUUAACAAUGGAUCACUUGGCUCUCGCAUCGAUGAAGAACGCAGCGAAAUGCGAUAAGGAAUGUGAAUUGCAGAAUUCAGUGAAUCAUCGAAUCUUUGAACGCACCUUGCACCCUUUGGCGGUCCGAAGGGUAUGCUCGUUUGAGUGUCAUUGUACUCUCAUGCUCCCGCUGCUUUUGGAUCGGGAGGGGUUGAGUUGGGUGUUGCUGCUAGACCGUGGCUCACUUCAAGUGGAGGAGUGCAACUCUUGGUUGGACAUAGUCCGGCGUGAUAAGUGUCUUCGCCGGCGCCUCAUUAGAGGGAGGCCGAUCGGGAGCUCUGUGCUUCAGACCGUCUUCGGACAACAUCUGACAACUUGACCUCCAAUCGAGUAGGACUACCCGCUGAACUUACGCAUAUCAAUAAGCGGAGGCU